UUGUGUCCUCCUUCAGCAAUCUAGGGUGAAAGUGAAGACUCUGGGCUCUAUAGGUUCUUGCACCAUAGUCACCGGAAGAGAUGGCGUAUCUCACCUGAAGCAGAAAGCCCUAUCGUCCGUGAGGACUAAACGUUUGACACCAGCCUCUCGACCAUCCGCUCAAGAACAAAUCAGCCCACUGCUGAAUCUAGUUGAUGAUCCCUGCCCUACUCUAUGGAUUUCACAUGAUUGGGAAUACAGAUAUGCAUCUGUUGGUCACAGAUACCUUUAAAAAAAAUAGGGGCGUGGAUCAGAAACCGGUCAGUAUCUGGUGUGACCACCAUUUGCCUCAUGCAGCACGACACAUCUUCUUCGCAUAGACUUUAUCAGGUUGUUGAUUGUGACC
rnacentral:lncRNA from 1 species